rnacentral:sRNA from 1 species
CCUCUGCCUGCUCAGGGGAAAUGUAGUGAAUGUGGGUAUCCACAGCACCAGCGGUCACAAUACGACCCUGGCCUGCAAUAACCUCGGUGCCAACGCCAACGACAAUGUCAAUGUCGUCCUGCACGUCCGGGUUACCGGCAGCACCGAUCUUGGCAAUCUUGCCAUCCUUGAUUGCAAUGUCAGCAACGUAAAUACCGGUGUAGUCAAUCACGGUCGCGCCGGUGAUAACAACGUCCGGAAUCUGCUCGUCGCCCAUCGUGCGGCUGUUCUGGCCCAUGCCGUCACGG